CUUAUCAAUCUCGAUUUUCACCAGUGGGUCACUUAAAAGGGAGACAUCCAGCCUCCACUGAAACGGAGUCACUGUUGUCUCGGGCCACUCCACCGUGCAAAGCAGCAGGGCAUGGUCCGACCAAGUGAUAGGAAGAAUGUCUAUCGAUCUCACAAAUGAAAGGCUAAGGGGGUCAGUCAAAAACUAAUCAAGGCGAGAGUACACUUGGUGGGGGUUUGAAAAAAAAGUGCUGUCUCUGUUUUCGGGAUGAAAUGUGCGCCAAACAUCAUGGACCGCCAUGCUCCUAAGACUGCUACUUAUACUUUUGAUGUGUUUCCCUGAUAGGGAGGAGGUUCCCCCCGACGUGUCUAUGUCAGGAUCUAAAGCACAGUUUCCACCGUGGGGGGCUGGAUAUGCCACUUAACCUGACAUUCUCCCUUUUAUUCCUUUGCUUCUUUUUGGACUUACUUACAAGGAAAUACUAAAACCUUUCUUGAUCAACUACAUCAGAACCUCCUGUCACAAGGAUACAAACAGGCAUGCAUCCACCACCACCAGUCACAGGCAUGCUGCCACCACCACCACCACCAGUCUUCAGGCACCCACAUGAGCAGUAUGUUCCCAGGCAUGAUCAGGGUUGGAUUGCUUCAGUUGAGGACCCGGGAGUGAUGCCACCAACAUUGCCAUAUGACCCCGGGCAAGAUUCCUGGCCAGAGGAAUAUUCUUCUUUUGGCUUUGAGGGGGAGCCAAGACAGCCACAAAGGGUCCAUGUAUUUCCCCCCCCCCCAACACAAUCUCAGGGCAGUCAUGGCUUUUACCCACAGACUAUGUCACAAGAAGUGCCAACUGGACAGGCUGAGUGGUCACACACUGGUCAUCAGUGGGACUAUCAAUCCACCCCCGAGCUCCACCAUCCUCAUCACUUGGGAGAGCUC